rnacentral:lncRNA from 1 species
GUGAGGGAGAGGACUCACCGUGUUCUUUCAUACCCACGUCCACAGAGAAAGACAGACACAGACAGGGGGACGUAUUGUAGCCGUGAUACUUUCUAUCUCGUUUUGCUCUCAUCGGACCAAAUCAUGAAAUCAGCCGAAUUAUAGGAAGAUUUAAAAGAGGGACUGAGAUUAUUGGAGGAUACUGACUGUGGUGGAGUGGAGUUAGCCUGAUGCUCAAGAAAAUGACUAUGACGUCAGGGCCAAAGUUUGUAUCAGCAUCACGCAGGAUGAGGAGCAGCAGCAGCAGCAGCCAGCCUGCAGAUGGAAACAAGGGUGGGUGGUUGGAA